UUUAUAGAGACGGGGUUUCACCGUGUUGCCCAGGAUGGUCUCAAACUCCUGGGCUCAAGAGAUCCUCCUGCCUCAGCCUCCCAAAGUGCUGGGAUUACAGGCAUGAGCACUGCUCCCAGCUCUGUUUUUGUUUUUUUAAGGAGGUAUAUUUUUUCUGUUCUCUCUCAGCCCUGAAGAAAGGCUACCCAUCCCCUUCAGACAUUCCUGAAAAUAUAUGUCAUCCAACAUCAAGGCCACCACAGUGACCACUAAGCAAUGCAAGAAGGUCCUCUGGGGUGCCCUGAGAUCUUGGCAGGGCAGGAAGAGUGAGAAGGGGCUUUGCCUGCUCACCUGAAAGUUCCCACCCAAGCCGGGCCCAGAAAACAAAAUGAAUUAUCUACAUGGUCAUCCAAUCAGCCACCAAAUGGCAUUACCUAGGUCCAUCAUCAUGUACCAAGCCACAGGUCAGACCCAGGGCCCCCCAAAUUAACAAGACACAGGCACUGUCCUCAGGAAGUGGAGAUCUAGCCAGGUCAGACCCACACACAAAUAACACUGAUACUAGAGAUAAUGAGAUUGGGAAUUAUGAUUCAGCCAUUCAACCUGGGCUUAUGUGGCAUCUACACCACCUGGCCCUGAUUUCAGUAGUGAGCACAGUUGACAGGGUCCCUUCCCUUCACAGGUGAGCCAUGUAGUCCACAAGUGGAGGUGGUCGUAAGUGAAAACCACAUUACCAGCAUGGUAAAGGGUUAGAAAGAGGGCACCGGGUGGGCGAGAACAUGAAGCAGGGGGUGCUGAUGGCUAAAGAAGUAAAGGAGGGGCUGGGCACUGUGGUUCAUGCCUAUAAUCCCAGCACUUUGGGAGACCAAGGCGGGUGGAUCACCUGAGGUCAGGAGUUCUAGACCAGCCUGGGCAACGUGGUGAAACCCUGUCUCUACUAAAAAUACAAAAAUUAGCCAGGCAUGGUGGUGCACGCCUGUAGUCCCAGCUACUUGGGAGGCUGGGGCAUGAGAAUUGCUUUAACCCGGAAGGUGGAGUUUGCAGUGAGCCGAGAUCGUGUCACUGCACUCCAGCCUGGGCGACAGAGGGAGACUCUGUCUCAAAAAAAAAAAAAAGUCAAGGAGGGUUUCCCAGAGUGGCCACUUGAUUAGAGACCUAGCACAGGAGGAAGAGAUGGGCAGGGAGAGUGACGGGGAGCAGCACAGUCCCUGGGAGCCCGAAGUGGGUGGGCACAGGGCUCCCUAGGAGAAUGGAAGGACAUCUAUGAGCUGUAGCCCAAGAGGAAGAGGUCACUGGGGCUAGAUGCGGCAGACCCUCGCAGGCUUUGGGAAGGGCUUCAGAAUUCAGCCUGAGGGCAAUGGGGAGCCCUUUUGGGAUAUUAAACUUGAGUAAGAUAUGAGCAUAUUUGCAUCUUGAAAAAUCAUUAUGGGAAGAUGGCUGGGAAGAGAGGAGGAGUGGCAGAAGAAAGAUAGGUUGGAGACAAUUGAUUGCUCGAUGAUAUAAAAUGUUAAGUACCAUGAAUGAUGCUGUUAGGCUGGAAUGCGCCAAGCAUAAAGGUGGGGCAUGGCAUCAAAAGGUAGGUCAACAUAUUAAAUAAUUCCAUGUAUUGAAAUAUCCAGAAAAUAUAUAGACAGAUCUAUAGAGAUAGAAACUGGUCUGCCCAGGACUAGGGGUUGUCUAAGGAUAAGGAGCUUCUUUUUUGGAUGGUGAAAUAACCUAAAAUAUAUUGUGCCAUUGUUUGCACAACUUUGUGAAUAUAUUAAAAACCUGUUAAUUGUACUCACUAAAUGUCCUCCUUCUAAAUUAAGCUGUUCUUGACAAGAAAAGGAAAGAAACAAAGAAAAGAAGAGAAAAAAGGUCAAGGUUUGGUCCUGGGUGCUCAAAUGGCAGGCCACAGACAGGAAACACAGUUGUGAGGAAUUACAACAGCCUCCCGGCCAGAGCUGGAGAGGUGGAGCCCAGGUCCCCUCUAACACCCCUUCUCCUGGCCAGGUUGGAGUCCCGCCACAGGCCACCAGAGCGGAGCAGCGCAGCGCCCUGUCUCCCAGCCUGAGGUGCAGUGCUGCAUCUCUGGUCAGUUGGGAGUCUGAGAUGAAGCACUGUAGCUCAGGAAGAGAGAAGUUGUUCUGCAGCCAUCAGCCUGGAAGUGUUGCCCCCCAAUGGGGCCUCGGCUGGCUCACAGGAUGAGGGUUCAAGAAGAAGGCUGUCCCUGGAGGUAAGAGGGCUUAUGAACCAUGUUCCAAACCUUUGCGUUGCUUUUCUUUCCAUCGUGUCUAUUUCAUAACAUCCCUGUGAGGCUGGAUGUGGGAACUUCAGCACUGCCGUACUCUUGGGAAAUUUGUCCAAGGCCACCCGGCUGAGCAGCGGUUGAACCAGGACACCAUCAGGCAUGCGUUUCUUGUCUCCACCACACCCUCAACCCACUUCCCAACGCGCCUUGCGACAGGGGCUGCGGUAUUGCAUCCACAUGACUGAUAAACUAGUAAACACACAUGAAUUCAUUUUAAAAGUGUAUUCAAUCAGUUAGGUAAACUAAAAACCUUAAGUCUUCGUUCGAUUUGGAAUGCAGCCAGAGAACAAAUGGAAAAUUUUUCAAGGUAGAGAAGAUGAAAACUCAGAACGCCCUCUUGUGGCAUCUCUACCCACCCUAGGAACACUAUGGCUCUUCCCCUACACAUGGUGAUUGCUAACCUUGCUACAAGACGUUGGACACACACACACACACACACACACACACACACACACUGAGGUUCCUUUUGCCCCCUCACUUUUGAGCCAGUGACUACUGAAACCCUCUCCAUUGUUGCACCACCAGCAAUGCCCCCAUCACUUCCUCUCAUUUACUUCCACAGGCUGGUUCAUCCUCAAAGCCCUCCUUACGUAGAUCUGUGGGAUCAGUGAGGCUCAGAGAGGUAAAGUGGCCAGCCCAAGGUCGCCCAGACAGCAAAAGGCAGGGCCAGCGCUGAUUUCAAGUCCAAUGGCCUAUGGCAAUUUCUUAGCCAAAAGCAAAAUCUACAAAAAUAAAAAGUCAGGCACAGUGGUGAGUGCCUACAGUCCCAGCUACUGAGGAGGCCGACGGGGGAGGACCACUUGAGCUUGGGAGUUCCUGGCUGCAGAGAGCUAUGAUUGUGCCUGUGAAUAGCCAAUGCACUCCAGCCUGAGCAAGAUAGGGAGACCCUGUCUCUAAAAAAUACCUAAAUAAUUUUAAAAGUCAGCCUCUCUGACUGCCUAUAGAGAAUGCUAACUAACUGAAUGACAGAAGACCUAAUGUAAUCCAGGUGCAAAAUCAGAACUUUCCGGCCGGGCGCGGUGGCUCACACCUGUAAUCCCAACACUUUGGGAGGCCCAGGCGGGUGGAUCACGAGGUCAGGAGUUCAAGACCGGCCUGCCCAACAUGGCAAAACCCCGUCUCUACUAAAAAUACAAAAAAUUAGCUGGGCAUGGUGGUGGCCACCUAUAAUCUCAGCUACUCAGGAGGCUGAGGCAGGAGAAUUGCUUGGACCCGGGAGGCAGAGGUUGCAGUGAGCUGAGAUCGCGCCACUGCACUCCAGCGUGGGGGACAAAAGCGAAACUCUGUCUCAAAAAAAAAAAAAUUAGAACUUUCCCCGUACUCUUGCUAGGGCUUUUCAUGGAGAUGUAGAAAUGGUAGUAAGUGCCAAGGCCCCAGAACCCUCAUGUUUGGGUCCGACUCCCACAUUGCCAGAGACUAGGCAGCUCACACAGGUGUCCCAAGCUGUCUUUCUCACAGGCCGCAUUGAAGGCAUUUAUGAAAUGAGACCCCCUCUUCCUCAUCCGUAGUGACAGGGCUGGCCUGACCGUGGAGAAAUCAGAUUUGAUCAUGAUAGCUUCCACUCCGUGACUGGUCACGAUCUGCCAGGCGCUGUGCUAAACACUUUCAUAGGCCUUGUCCCCCUCCAUCCUGAUAACACCCCAGUGAAGCAGGCCCUGCUCUUCACUCCACUCCACAAAGCCAAGGCUGAGAGAGGUUAACAGACUUACCUAAGGUCACACAGCUAAGAAGUCGUGAAGCUGGGAUCGAAUCAAGUCUGUGUUUAUGGGUUUAACUAUCAUGUUGUGGCCCCAACCCCAUUUGACCUAGCCUGGCUGGUGGGCCUUCUUGCAGUAGCUUCCCCUGGAGAAGAGGAAAAGCAAACCUUCAUUGAGACCCAAGCGGUCUCUCCUGUGCUCUGUGACAAUAAUAAAGUUCCAGCCCUUGGCUCCUGUCCUGUUUCUUUCUGGGAAUUUGGGGAAGGGGGGAGGUGGCGAAGGCAGGGAAAGAACCUGACAGGCCCAGCUGAACACCCCCAAGUGGC
rnacentral:lncRNA from 1 species